ACACGACUCUCGGCAAUGGAUAUCUCGGCUCUCGCAUCGAUGAAGAGCGCAGCGAAAUGCGAUAUGUGGUGCGAAUUGCAGAAUCCCGUGAAC
rnacentral:rRNA from 1 species